CCUACGGGAGGCAGCAGUGAGGAAUAUUGGUCAAUGGGCGCGAGCCUGAACCAGCCAAGUAGCGUGAAGGAUGACUGCCCUACGGGUUGUAAACUUCUUUUAUCAAGGAAUAAAGUGAGGCACGUGUGCCUUUUUGCAUGUACUUUAUGAAUAAGGAUCGGCUAACUCCGUGCCAGCAGCCGCGGUAAUACGGAGGAUCCGAGCGUUAUCCGGAUUUAUUGGGUUUAAAGGGAGCGGAGAUGGGUUGUUAAGUCAGGUGUGAAAGGUUGCGGCUCAACCGUAGAAUUGCAAUUGAUACUGGCAGUCUUGAGUACAGUAGAGGUAGGCGGAAUUCGUGGUGUAGCGGUGAAAUGCUUAGAUAUCACGAAGAACUCCGAUUGCGAAGGCAGCUUACUAAACUGCCACUGACGUUGAUGCUCGAAAGUGUGGGUAUCAAACAGGAGUAGAUACCCGUGUAGUC
rnacentral:rRNA from 1 species